UCUUCAGCUGGCUCCGUUAGAUGGAGGAGGAGUCAACCCCUAAUCCUCCUUUUGAUUCCAGUGCUGGUCUGGGACGACGCCAGGGACUCUCGAGAAGCCAAAGACAAGCUGGUUCUGGAGUUCACCUUCACCAAACCGGUUCUAGCGGUCCGCAUGAGGCACGACAAGAUCAUCAUCGUGCUAAAGAACCGGAUCUACGUGUACAGUUUCCCAGACAACCCUGUUAAGCUUUUUGAGUUUGACACCAGAGAUAACCCCAAAGGUCUGUGUGACCUGUGUCCCAGUCUGGAGAAACAGCUGCUGGUCUUUCCGGGUCACAAGUGUGGCAGCCUGCAGCUGGUUGUAAGUC